GAUGAACGCUGACAGAAUGCUUAACACAUGCAAGUCAACUUGAACUUCGGUUUGGGUGGCGGACGGGUGAGUAACGCGUAAAGAACUUGCCUCACAGUUAGGGACAACAUUUGGAAACGAAUGCUAAUACCUGAUAUUAUGAUUUUAGGGCAUCCUAGAAUUAUGAAAGCUAUAUGCGCUGUGAGAGAGCUUUGCGUCCCAUUAGCUAGUUGGAGAGGUAACGGCUCACCAAGGCGAUGAUGGGUAGCCGGCCUGGGAGGGUGAACGGCCACAAGGGGACGGAGACACGGCCCUUACUCCUACGGGAGGCAGCAGUGGGGAAUAUUGGACAAUGGACCAAGAGUCUGAUCCAGCAAUUCUGUGUGCACGAUGAAGUUUUUCGGAAUGUAAAGUGCUUUCAGUUGGGAAGAAAAAAAUGACGGUACCAACAGAAGAAGUGACGGCUAAAUACGUG
rnacentral:rRNA from 1 species